rnacentral:rRNA from 1 species
CCUACGGGUGGCUGCAGUGGGGAAUUUUCCGCAAUGGGCGCAAGCCUGACGGAGCAAUACCGCGUGAGGGAGGAAGGCUUUUGGGUCGUAAACCUCUUUUCUCUGGGAAGAAGAUCUGACGGUACCAGAGGAAUCAGCAUCGGCUAACUCCGUGCCAGCAGCCGCGGUAAUACGGAGGAUGCAAGCGUUAUCCGGAAUUAUUGGGCGUAAAGCGUCCGCAGGUGGUGAAUCAAGUCUGCUGUUAAAGCGUGGAGCUUAACUCCAUAUCGGCAGUG